GGCAUGGUGGCAUAGUGGUUAGCACUGGUGAAUUGCACUUCCAGGGUUGGGGGUUCAAAUCCCGCCUCUACCC